AUCAGGGUAGCCUAAUAUAUAAGGCAUGGUAUUGAAGAUACCAAGAUAGGAUUUCCUCUUUGAUA
rnacentral:tRNA from 1 species